CAUGGAUGGAGAGGAGUGACUUGCUUCUUCGAGAGAAUUUUGCCCGCAUUUGGCUCCAUUUUACCGUUUCCUGAAAAAGAAACGGUAGUUAUGAAGUGCAAAACAUGUGCUCACAAAGUAAAUGCAAAAACUGCAUUACAAAUACAUGGUGUGGUCUAUCAGUUAUCAUUCAUACCUGCGUCUCAACUCUCACAAGAAUGUUGAAGGUCGUCAGGAGGUCGUCGACCAGAAAGACCUAGGACCACUGAUUGACAGGGCAUGUGCCAAGUGCCGUCACGAUGGACUU